rnacentral:rRNA from 1 species
GACGAACGCUGGCGGCGUGCUUAACACACGCAAGUCGAACGGAAAGGCCCUGCUUUUGUGGGGUGCUCGAGUGGCGAACGGGUGAGUAACACGUGAGUAACCUGCCCUUGACUUUGGGAUAACUUCAGGAAACUGGGGCUAAUACCGGAUAGGAGCUCCUGCUGCAUGGUGGGGGUUGGAAAGUUUCGGCGGUUGGGGAUGGACUCGCGGCUUAUCAGCUUGUUGGUGGGGUAGUGGCUUACCAAGGCUUUGACGGGUAGCCGGCCUGAGAGGGUGACCGGCCACAUUGGGACUGAGAUACGGCCCAGACUCCUACGGGAGGCAGCAGUGGGGAAUAUUGCACAAUGGGCGGAAGCCUGAUGCAGCAACGCCGCGUGCGGGAUGACGGCCUUCGGGUUGUAAACCGCUUUCGCCUGUGACGAAGCGUGAGUGACGGUAAUGGGUAAAGAAGCACCGGCUAACUACGUGCCAGCAGCCGCGGUGAUACGUAGGGUGCGAGCGUUGUCCGGAUUUAUUGGGCGUAAAGGGCUCGUAGGUGGUUGAUCGCGUCGGAAGUGUAAUCUUGGGGCUUAACCCUGAGCGUGCUUUCGAUACGGGUUGACUUGAGGAAGGUAGGGGAGAAUGGAAUUCCUGGUGGAGCGGUGGAAUGCGCAGAUAUCAGGAGGAACACCAGUGGCGAAGGCGGUUCUCUGGGCCUUUCCUGACGUUGAGGAGCGAAAGCGUGGGGAGCGAACAGGCUUAGAUACCCUGGUAGUCCACGCUGUAAACGGUGGGUACUAGGUGUGGGGUCCAUUCCACGGGUUCCGUGCCGUAGCUAACGCUUUAAGUACCCCGCCUGGGGAGUACGGCCGCAAGGCUAAAACUCAAAGGAAUUGACGGGGCCCCGCACAAGCGGCGGAGCAUGCGGAUUAAUUCGAUGCAACGCGUAGAACCUUACCUGGGUUUGACAUGGAUCGGGAGUGCUCAGAGAUGGGUGUGCCUCUUUUGGGGUCGGUUCACAGGUGGUGCAUGGCUGUCGUCAGCUCGUGUCGUGAGAUGUUGGGUUAAGUCCCGCAACGAGCGCAACCCUUGUUCACUGUUGCCAGCACGUUAUGGUGGGGACUCAGUGGAGACCGCCGGGGUCAACUCGGAGGAAGGUGGGGAUGACGUCAAGUCAUCAUGCCCCUUAUGUCCAGGGCUUCACGCAUGCUACAAUGGCUGGUACAGAGAGUGGCGAGCCUGUGAGGGUGAGCGAAUCUCGGAAAGCCGGUCUCAGUUCGGAUUGGGGUCUGCAACUCGACCUCAUGAAGUCGGAGUCGCUAGUAAUCGCAGAUCAGCAACGCUGCGGUGAAUACGUUCCCGGGGCU